rnacentral:rRNA from 1 species
GACGAACGCUGGCGGCGUGCUUAAUACAUGCAAGUCGAACGGAAAGGCCCUGCUUUUGUGGGGUGCUCGAGUGGCGAACGGGUGAGUAACACGUGAGUAACAUGCCCUUGUCUUUGGGAUAAAUUUAGGAAACUGGGGCUAAUAUCGCAUAGGAGCUCCUGAUGCACGGUGGGGGUUGGAAAGUUUCGGCGGUUGGGGAUGGACUGGCAGCUUAUCCGCUUGAUUGGGUGGUAGUUACGUACCAAGGUUGUGACGGGUAGGCGGCAUGAGAGCGCGGCCGGCCACAUGAGGACUGAGGGACGGCGCAGACUCCAACGGGAGGCAGUGGUGGGGAAUCUUGCGCAGUGGGCCGAAGCCUGAUGCGGCAACGCCGCGUGCGGGAUGACGGCCUUCGGGUUGUGAACCGCUUUCGCCUGUGACGAAGCGUGAGUGACGGUAAUUGGUAAAGAAGCACCGGCUAACUACGUG